rnacentral:rRNA from 1 species
AGUAACACGUGAGCAACCUGCCCUUCGGAGGGGGACAACAGCUGGAAACGGCUGCUAAUACCGCAUGACACAGCGGGGAGGCAUCUCCCUGCUGUCAAAGAUUUUUAUCGCCGAAGGAUGGGGCUCGCGUCUGAUUAGAUAGUUGGUGAGGUAACGGCCCACCAAGUCAACGAUCAGUAGCCGGACUGAGAGGUUGAACGGCCACAUUGGGACUGAGAUACGGCCCAGACUCCUACGGGAGGCAGCAGUGGGGAAUAUUGGGCAAUGGGGGGCCAACCCUGACCCAGCAACGCCGCGUGAAGGAAGAAGGCUUUCGGGUUGUAAACUUCUUUGACGAGGGACGAUAGUGACGGUACCUCGAAAACAAGCCACGGCUAACUACGUGCCAGCCGCAGC